UACGUAGGGUGCAAGCGUUAAUCGGAAUUACUGGGCGUAAAGCGUGCGCAGGCGGUUUUGUAAGUCUGUCGUGAAAGCCCCGGGCUCAACCUGGGAAUUGCGAUGGAGACUGCAAGGCUUGAAUCUGGCAGAGGGGGGUAGAAUUCCACGUGUAGCAGUGAAAUGCGUAGAGAUGUGGAGGAACACCGAUGGCGAAGGCAGCCCUCGGUCGAAGAUUGACGCUCAUGCACGAAAGCGUGGGGAGCAAACAGG
rnacentral:rRNA from 1 species